GAGGAAGGUGGGGAUGACGUCAAGUCCUCAUGGCCUUUAUGUCCAGGGCUACACACGUGCUACAAUGGCCGGUACAAACCGCUGCAAACCCGCGAGGGUGAGCCAAUCGGAGAAAGCCGGCCUCAGUUCGGAUUGCAGUCUGCAACUCGACUGCAUGAAGCUGGAAUCGCUAGUAAUCGCGGAUCAGCAUGCCGCGGUGAUACGUUCCCGGGCCUUGUACACACCGCCCGUCACAUCACGAAAGUGGGUUGUACUAGAAGCAGGUGAGCUAACCGCAAGGAAGCAGCCUUCCAAGGUGUGAUUCAUGAUUGGGGUGAAGUCGUAACAAGGUAGCCGUAA
rnacentral:rRNA from 1 species